rnacentral:rRNA from 1 species
GAUUAGAGUUUGAUCAUGGCUCAGAUUGAACGCUGGCGGCAUGCUUUACACAUGCAAGUCGAACGGUAACAGGUCUUCGGAUGCUGACGAGUGGCGAACGGGUGAGUAAUACAUCGGAACGUGCCUAGUAGUGGGGGAUAACUACUCGAAAGAGUAGCUAAUACCGCAUGAGAUCUACGGAUGAAAGCAGGGGACCUUCGGGCCUUGUGCUACUAGAGCGGCUGAUGGCAGAUUAGGUAGUUGGUGGGGUAAAGGCUUACCAAGCCUGCGAUCUGUAGCUGGUCUGAGAGGACGACCAGCCACACUGGGACUGAGACACGGCCCAGACUCCUACGGGAGGCAGCAGUGGGGAAUUUUGGACAAUGGGCGAAAGCCUGAUCCAGCAAUGCCGCGUGCAGGAUGAAGGCCCUCGGGUUGUAAACUGCUUUUGUACGGAACGAAAAGCCUGGGGCUAAUAUCCCCGGGUCAUGACGGUACCGUAAGAAUAAGCACCGGCUAACUACGUGCCAGCAGCCGCGGUAAUACGUAGGGUGCAAGCGUUAAUCGGAAUUACUGGGCGUAAAGCGUGCGCAGGCGGUUUUGUAAGACAGUGGUGAAAUCCCCGGGCUCAACCUGGGAACUGCCAUUGUGACUGCAAGGCUAGAGUGCGGCAGAGGGGGAUGGAAUUCCGCGUGUAGCAGUGAAAUGCGUAGAUAUGCGGAGGAACACCGAUGGCGAAGGCAAUCCCCUGGGCCUGCACUGACGCUCAUGCACGAAAGCGUGGGGAGCAAACAGGAUUAGAUACCCUGGUAGUCCACGCCCUAAACGAUGUCAACUGGUUGUUGGGUCUUAACUGACUCAGUAACGAAGCUAACGCGUGAAGUUGACCGCCUGGGGAGUACGGCCGCAAGGUUAAAACUCAAAGGAAUUGACGG